UCCAGAUGUUAAGGAAGUUAAGGUGAAUAAAUAAGAAACCUGUCGAGGAGCUUAACCUUGGGAUCUGAUUAAGUAACAUUUGUACACAAAAUUUCACUGGAAACCUUAUUUUGAAUGUUGAAAUCUUCAACUCAUUCCGUCGGAAGAUAGUGCAGUUAAUUGGAGAUAAGGAGCAUCUUUAAAUACCAUCAGUGGUGUUUCCGAUUUAUCUAGAAAUCGAACUCGACUGGAUAUAGAGAUGGGGACUGUUGUUCUGGCUUAUAGUGGAGGUUUGGAUACUUCUUGUAUCUUAGUGUGGCUCAUAGAAAAAGGUUAUGAUGUUAUCGCUUUUAUGGCAAAUGUUGGACAAGAGGAAGAUUUUGAAGAAGCAUAUAAGAAAGCUACAGCUUUAGGAGCAAAGAAGGUUGUAAUUGAAGAUUUGAGGAAGGCCUUCGUAGAAGAUUACAUUUGGCCUGCAGUUCAAGCAGGUGCAAUUUAUGAAGACAGAUAUCUUCUCGGAACUUCCCUAGCCAGGCCUUGUAUUGCAAAAUCGCUCGUCGCUGUUGCUGUCCAGGAAAAAGCUACUUAUAUAUCACAUGGAGCGACAGGGAAGGGAAACGAUCAAGUCAGAUUUGAAUUAUCGUGCUACGCUCUGUGUCCCGAUAUAAAGGUAAUAUCUCCUUGGAGACUGGCGGAAUUUUACGAACGUUUUCCGGGGCGUCAAGAUCUCAUUAAAUAUGCCAAAGAAAAAAAUAUCCCAGUUCCAGUCACUCCAUCAGCUCCUUGGAGUAUGGAUGCCAAUUUAAUGCAUAUAAGUUACGAAUCAGGUGUGCUAGAAGAUCCGUGGACUGUUCCACCUCAAGAUUUAUAUCGCAUGACAAAGAAUCCUUUGAAGUCUCCUGAUGAACCUGCAAUACUCGAUAUUGAAUUUAAAGAAGGUGUGCCAGUAAAAGUCACUAAUUUAAAAGAUAAUGCAACGAAAGAUUCCUCGCUUGAUUUGUACCUUUAUCUGAAUGAAAUUGGGGGAGAACAUGGAGUAGGCCGAAUUGACAUUGUAGAAAAUAGAUUUAUAGGUAUUAAAUCAAGAGGAGUGUAUGAAACUCCUGGAGGAACCAUUAUCCAUGAAGCCCAUGGGGAUCUUGAGAUAUUUACUUUAGACAGGGAAGUAUAUAAGCUUAAGAAAAGUUUAUCUAUCAAGUUUUCAGAACAAGUUUACAACGGAUUAUGGUUCAGUCCUGAAGCUUCGUAUCUUCGGUCCUGCCUGCAACUUAGCCAAAAAGACGUAAAUGGAACCGUUCGAGUUCAUCUCUACAAAGGCCACGUCCACAUACUGGCUAGAAAAUCCCCUACCACAUCAUACAACCAAGAAUUAGCAAGCAUGGAUUUCCCUGGUGAUUAUGCUCCUAUUGAUGCUGAAGGAUUCAUUAAAGUUCAUGCUUUAAGAUUAAAGGAACACUUCCGAGCAAAGAGGAAGUAACCAGUUAUCUAAAAAGGAAUAAAGGGAAGGAAUUUAUUCGAUGAUGCCACAUCUUGAACUUAAAACUACAUCAAUAUUCCAUCGUAGAACAUCAGUUCCCGUUGUCUUAGAAUAUUUCCUGCUGAUCUGCCGAAAGACUGACCAAGCCCGCAAUCUCUGUAACCUGAAAAGAGAGAUAGAAAGAACUGAGAAAAAAUUAUGCUGAAAAAUGAAUUUCCAUUAUGGUACUACAAAAUAGAUUAUUUUUUUUUCAUCAAAUUUUUACAUUUUUGUUUUUAAUAUAUAUUAUAUUUUAUAUAAUGUAUAUUUUUAUAUUAAGAAAUCUUGAAAUAAUUUUUUUUUCUUACAUUCAUGAAGAGAUUCUACCAUUUGUAGGAUAUCAUUAUUUAGUUAAAUUAAAUUUUAAAUGACAAAUUUUUAAAGUAUUUAAGUAGCAUAUGGUCACUGAGAACACACAGGUGAACAAAACUUUUUAAUAUAUUAAUACAUGUCAGAAAGUCAGUGAAAAUUAAUUACAGAAUUAUAUCUUUAAAGAAAUGGAACAAUUCAAGUUGAAUAAAAGCAUGCAAGAAUGAUUUUUUCACGGAAAUAAAAAUUACAAAAAUUUAACUUUUACAUUAAAAUAAUGAUACUACUUGUCUCGAGGAUUAAUUUAAUGAGUAUCUGCUUAAGAAUAUAGAUAAAAUGAAACAGAUAGGCUAACUUUAGACAGGAUAUACCAUCGAAUUUAAAAACUUAGAGAGAAAUGUUGAUAUUCUCGAAACAAAAUAAAUCUGAAAUGGAAAUAUAAUAUUGAUUAUGAAUGAUGAUUGAGUAAAAGUAAUGUUUGGCAUGCAACUGUGCAGAAUGUCAAUUAUUUGUAAAGAAUACUUCUGAAUAAACUUUGCUGUUUUCUCUGA